rfam:Ictidomys tridecemlineatus contig051012, whole genome shotgun sequence.
GGGGAUGUGGCUCAGUGGUAAAGCAUAUGUCUAGUAUGCAAAAGGCCCUGGGUUCAAUCCCCAGCAUCCCCA